AUUGAACGCUGGCGGCUGGCUCAACACAUGCAAGUCGAGCGGAGAUGAGGUGCUUGCACCUUAUCUUAGCGGCGGACGGGUGAGUAAUGCUUAGGAAUCUGCCUAUUAGUGGGGGACAACAUUCCGAAAGGAAUGCUAAUACCGCAUACGUCCUACGGGAGAAAGCAGGGGAUCUUCGGACCUUGCGCUAAUAGAUGAGCCUAAGUCGGAUUAGCUAGUUGGUGGGGUAAAGGCCUACCAAGGCGACGAUCUGUAGCGGGUCUGAGAGGAUGAUCCGCCACACUGGGACUGAGACACGGCCCAGACUCCUACGGGAGGCAGCAGUGGGGAAUAUUGGACAAUGGGGGGAACCCUGAUCCAGCCAUGCCGCGUGUGUGAAGAAGGCCUUAUGGUUGUAAAGCACUUUAAGCGAGGAGGAGGCUACUGAGACUAAUACUCUUGGAUAGUGGACGUUACUCGCAGAAUAAGCACCGGCUAACUCUGUGCCAGCCGCCGCCGUAACAC
rnacentral:rRNA from 1 species